rnacentral:rRNA from 1 species
GACGAACGCUGGCGGCGUGCUUAACACAUGCAAGUCGAACGAAGAGCGAUGGAAGCUUGCUUCUAUCAAUCUUAGUGGCGAACGGGUGAGUAACGCGUAAUCAACCUGCCCUUCAGAGGGGGACAACAGUUGGAAACGACAGCUAAUACCGCAUACGAUCUAAUCUCGGCAUCGAUGAUAGAUGAAAGGUGGCCGCUACAUGUAAGCUAUCACUGAAGGAGGGUAUUGCGUCUGAUUAGCUAGUUGGAGGGGUAACGGCCCACCAAGGCGAUGAUCAGUAGCCGGUCGGAGAGGAUGAACGGCCACAUUGGGACUGAGACACGGCCCAGACUCCUACGGGAGGCAGCAGUGGGGAAUCUUCCGCAAUGGACGAAAGUCUGACGGAGCAACGCCGCGUGAGUGAUGACGGCCUUCGGGUUGUAAAGCUCUGUUAAUCGGGACGAAAGGCCUUCUUGCGAAUAGUGAGAAGGAUUGACGGUACCGGAAUAGAAAGCCACGGCUAACUACGUG